UUGUUUCUUUAAUUUAUUUAGUUAUUAGGCUUAAGUUAUUUAGGGCUAGAAUAAAGUAAUGAGUCAGACUUUUGUACGGGCUUUAAGAUAUUUCUUGGGCCUCAAGUUUCUGUAGGUCUUUAAAUAGUUAUUAGUGAGUUAGGGUUAGGAUUAUCGUCGCAGUAUUAUUCUGGACAGCUUCUGCUGUAGGCCUCGCAAGAGGAGUUCGGGACAGCAUUCUCGCUGUAGGCCUCGCAAGAGGAGUUCGGGACAGCGUUCUCGCUGUAGGCCUCGCAAGAGGAGGGUUACUCUCUGUUUUCCUUGUUCAGUUUUUAUUUCAAUUUAUUUCUCUUUCAGCUCUCCUGUUUUCUAUUUAUCUCAAACCCUUCAUUCUAUCAAUUGGUCCGACCUGCCGGAUAAAAAAAAAAGAUGAUGGAGAAGAAGAUAGAGAAGGGUGUUGAGGCUGUUAACUCGAGCUCGACAACAUUUGAGCGAAUAAUGGAGAAACUCAAUCGCAUUGAGGAGUUGCUGACAAUUCGAUCAAGCAAAAUGAAGCCCUCUCCCGUUCCAUGUAGCUAAGACAGUGCUAAAUCAGCCACGCCGCAUCCACCACAUGUUUCUGUGAUGACUCCACCGCCACCUCCACCUCCACCUCCUGUUUUAGUUACAAGUCUGCCACCUCCGCUGCCUCAGCUUCCUGUUUCCCUGACAACGCCACCACCUUUUCCUCUUGUUUCCAUGACGACACCUACUUCUCUUAUAGAGGCAGUAGUCGUGGUGACUUCUGCGCCUUCAAAUAUACUUGCUGCGUCUCUCCCUACAAGAACUUCACCUCUUACAAGGUUGCUUCUCUCCCUACAUAGACCCCUGCGCCAACAAGGAUUUACACCAGCUUUGCUCAUCGAGAUUGGAAGGAAUUGAGUCAAUUGACUGAGGAGUUUCUCAACACCAGAAACUUAUGCAGAAUAUAUACAGCCUCUCCAAGGAUUACCGUGCAACAAUGGGAAUAUGAAUUUCCUAAUCAAAAUAGCUUGAAGACUAGACAGAUUUGGGAAGUCUUUUGAAGUGCUUACAGCCUUGAGGACAAGGCUGUUUUGAAGAGCGAAGGAAUUGAUACAGAUCAAUAUAUAUUUAUAGUUAAUUAAUUAUAAAUUGUUUCUUUAAUUUAUUUAGUUAUUAGGCUUAAGUUAUUUAGGGCUAGAAUAAAGUAAUGAGUCAGACUUUUGUACGGGCUUUAAAAUAUUUCUUGGGCCUCAAGUUUCUGUAGGUCUUUAAAUAGUUAUUAGUGAGUUAGGGUUAGGAUUAUCGUCGCAGUAUUAUUCUGGACAGCUUCUGCUGUAGGCCUCGCAAGAGGAGUUCGGGACAGCGUUCUCGCUGUAGGCCUCGCAAGAGGAGGG
rnacentral:lncRNA from 1 species